GAUGAACGCUAGCUAUAGGCUUAACACAUGCAAGUCGAGGGGAAACGGCAUUAUGUGCUUGCACAUUUUGGACGUCGACCGGCGCACGGGUGAGUAUCGCGUAUCCAACCUGCCCUUUACUUGGGGAUACCCCGUUGAAAGACGGCCUAAUACCCGAUGUAAUUCAUUGAUGGCAUCAGAUAUGAAUAAAAGAUUUAUCGGUAAAGGAUGGGGAUGCGUCUGAUUAGCUUGUUGGUGAGGUAACGGCUCACCAAGGCGACGAUUAGUAGGGGUUCUGAGAGGAAGGGCCCCCACAUUUGAACUUAGAAACGGUCCAAACUCCUACGGGAGGCAGCAGUGAGGAAUAAUGGUCAAUGGGCGCAAGCCUGAACCAGCCAAGUAGCGUGCAGGAAGACGGCCCUAUGGGUUGUAAACUGCUUUUAUACGAGAAAAAUUUGAUGCACGUGUGCGUUAUUGCAUGUAGCGGAUGAAUAAGGACCGGCUAAUUCCGUG
rnacentral:rRNA from 1 species